UUAAGGGAGACCUACCCUAUCGGAUACCGAAGCACUCAGAARUAGGUAACGAUAAGGUCAACCUAAGGUCGUUGAGGAUGAGUGAUAUCGACUGGCUUUCAAACUAACUAGGUGAGGGACCGUGGGCUAUUAGCUCAGGUGGUUAGAGCGCACCCCUGAUAAGGGUGAGGUCCCUGGUUCGAGUCCAGGAUGGCCCACCUGCAUCAAUUGCAAAGAUUGAUGGGGGUUUAGCUCAGUUGGUAGAGCGCCUGCUUUGCAAGCAGGAUGUCAGCGGUUCGAGUCCGCUAACCUCCACUGAGAAACGAUUCAGCAACUAGUCUAGUCUCAAACACUAGAGAGCCUGCUGGAUGCGAGUCCAGUCAGAACCUUGAAAACUGCAUAGAAACUUGUCAGGUAGGUAGUUCUUGUUUAUUGGCUGUAUGGCUAACAAGCAAGGAUGAAUAUCACAGACACCAAUGUAAUUGAACUCAAGU
rnacentral:tRNA from 1 species